rnacentral:rRNA from 1 species
UACGUAGGGUGCGAGCGUUAAUCGGAAUUACUGGGCGUAAAGCGUGCGCAGGCGGUUUUGUAAGCCAGAUGUGAAAUCCCCGGGCUUAACCUGGGAAUGGCAUUUGGGACUGCAAGGCUUGAGUGCGGCAGAGGAGACUGGAAUUCCUGGUGUAGCAGUGAAACGCGUAGAUAUCAGGAGGAACACCGAUGGCGAAGGCAGGUCUCUGGGCUGACACUGACGCUCAUGCACGAAAGCGUGGGGAGCAAACAGG